UGUUCGGAGAGUUUGAUCCUGGCUCAGGACGAACGCUGGCGGCGUGCUUAACACAUGCAAGUCGAACGCUGAAGGCCCAGCUUGCUGGGUUGGAUGAGUGGCGAACGGGUGAGUAACACGUGAGUAACCUGCCCCCUUCUUUGGGAUAACGGUCGGAAACGGCUGCUAAUACCGGGUAUUCACUGUCCUUCGCAUGGGGGGUGGUGGAAAGGUUUUUUCUGGUGGGGGAUGGGCUCGCGGCCUAUCAGCUUGUUGGUGGGGUGAUGGCUUACCAAGGCUUUGACGGGUAACCGGCCUGAGAGGGUGACCGGUCACAUUGGGACUGAGAUACGGCCCAGACUCCUACGGGAGGCAGCAGUGGGGAAUAUUGCACAAUGGGCGAAAGCCUGAUGCAGCGACGCCGCGUGAGGGAUGGAGGCCUUCGGGUUGUAAACCUCUUUCGCUCAUGGUCAAGCCGCAACAUUGGUUGUGGUGAGGGUAGUGGGUAAAGAAGCACCGGCUAACUACGUGCCAGCAGCCGCGGUAAUACGUAGGGUGCGAGCGUUGUCCGGAAUUAUUGGGCGUAAAGGGCUUGUAGGCGGUUUGUCGCGUCUGCCGUGAAAUCCUCUGGCUUAACUGGGGGCGUGCGGUGGGUACGGGCAGGCUUGAGUGCGGUAGGGGAGACUGGAACUCCUGGUGUAGCGGUGGAAUGCGCAGAUAUCAGGAAGAACACCGGUGGCGAAGGCGGGUCUCUGGGCCGUUACUGACGCUGAGGAGCGAAAGCGUGGGGAGCGAACAGGAUUAGAUACCCUGGUAGUCCACGCUAAAACUCAAAGGAAUUGACGGGGGCCCGCACAAGCGGCGGAGCAUGCGGAUUAAUUCGAUGCAACGCGAAGAACCUUACCAAGGCUUGACAUGCACGGCGGCACUGCAGAGAUGUGGUGGCAUUUAGUUGGUCGUGUGCAGGUGGUGCAUGGUUGUCGUCAGCUCGUGUCGUGAGAUGUUGGGUUAAGUCCCGCAACGAGCGCAACCCUUGCCCUAUGUUGCCAGCACGUUAUGGUGGGGACUCGUGGGGGACUGCCGGGGUUAACUCGGAGGAAGGUGGGGAUGACGUCAAAUCAUCAUGCCCCUUAUGUCUUGGGCUUCACGCAUGCUACAAUGGCUGGUACAGAGGGUUGCGAUACUGUGAGGUGGAGCGAAUCCCUUAAAGCCAGUCUCAGUUCGGAUUGGGGUCUGCAACUCGACCCCAUGAAGGUGGAGUCGCUAGUAAUCGCAGAUCAGCAACGCUGCGGUGAAUACGUUCUCGGGCCUUGUACACACCGCCCGUCACGUCACGAAAGUUGGUAACACCCGAAGCCCAUGGCCUAACCGUUUUUCGGGGGGAGUGGUCGAAGGUGGGAUUGGCGAUUGGGACGAAGUCGUAACAAGGUAGCCGUACCGGAAGGUGCGGCUGGAUCACCUCCUUU
rnacentral:rRNA from 1 species